GUACGUCGUAGUCCGGAUUGGAGUCUGCAACUCGACUCCAUGAAGUCGGAAUCGCUAGUAAUCGUAGAUCAGAAUGCUACGGUGAAUACGUUCCCGGGCCUUGUACACACCGCCCGUCACACCAUGGGAGUGGGUUGCAAAAGAAGUAGGUAGCUUAACCUUCGGGAGGGCGCUUACCACUUUGUGAUUCAUGACUGGGGUGAAGUCGUAACAAGGUAACCGUAGGGGAACCUGCGGUUGGAUCACCUCCUUACCUAAAGA
rnacentral:rRNA from 1 species